AUGAGCAGCCACAUCACCCUGUAGCCCAAGACUGGUUUUCCACUGAAGCUAAGCAGGGCUGAGCCUGGUCAGUAUCUGGAUGGGAGACCACAUGGGAAAACUAGGUUGCUGCUGGAA
rnacentral:rRNA from 1 species